AUUGAACGCUGGCGGCAGGCCUAACACAUGCAAGUCGAGCGGUAGAGAGAAGCUUGCUUCUCUUGAGAGCGGCGGACGGGUGAGUAAUGCCUAGGAAUCUGCCUGGUAGUGGGGGAUAACGUUCGGAAACGGACGCUAAUACCGCAUACGUCCUACGGGAGAAAGCAGGGGACCUUCGGGCCUUGCGCUAUCAGAUGAGCCUAGGUCGGAUUAGCUAGUUGGUGGGGUAAUGGCUCACCAAGGCGACGAUCCGUAACUGGUCUGAGAGGAUGAUCAGUCACACUGGAACUGAGACACGGUCCAGACUCCUACGGGAGGCAGCAGUGGGGAAUAUUGGACAAUGGGCGAAAGCCUGAUCCAGCCAUGCCGCGUGUGUGAAGAAGGUCUUCGGAUUGUAAAGCAGUUUAAGUUGGGAGGAAGGGCAGUAAAUUAAUACGUUGCUGUUUUGACGUUACCGACAGAAUAAGCACCGGCUAACUCUGUG
rnacentral:rRNA from 1 species